rnacentral:rRNA from 1 species
UACGUAGGGAGCAAGCGUUGUCCGGAAUCAUUGGGCGUAAAGCGCGCGUAGGUGGCCCCGUAAGUCCGCUGUGAAAGUCAAAGGCUCAACCUUUGAAAGCCGGUGGAUACUGUGGGGCUAGAGUACGGAAGAGGCGAGUGGAAUUCCUGGUGUAGCGGUGAAAUGCGCAGAUAUCAGGAGGAACACCAAUAGCGAAGGCAGCUCGCUGGGACGUUACUGACACUGAGGUGCGAAAGCGUGGGGAGCAAACAGG